rnacentral:rRNA from 1 species
UUCGAUGCAACGCGAAGAACCUUACCUGGGCUUGAACUGCAGGCGUAGUCGCUUGAAAGGCGGCGAACUCCUUCGGGAAGACCUGUAGAGGUGCUGCAUGGCUGUCGUCAGCUCGUGUCGUGAGAUGUUGGGUUAAGUCCCGCAACGAGCGCAACCCUUGCCAUUAGUUGUCAGCGAGUCAUGUCGGAUACUCUAAUGGGACUGCCGGUGACGAGCCGGAGGAAGGUGGGGAUGACGUCAAGUCAGCAUGGCCUUUAUAUCCAGGGCUACACACGUGCUACAAUGGCCGGUACAAAGGGUCGCAAUACCGCGAGGUGGAGCUAAUCCCAAAAAGCCGGUCUCAGUUCGGAUUGGAGUCUGCAACUCGACUCCAUGAAGUCGGAAUCGUUAGUAAUCGCGUAUCAGCGUGACGCGGUCGAAUACGUUCCCGGGCCUU